rnacentral:rRNA from 1 species
CUGGCUCAGAACGAACGCUGGCGGCAGGCUUAACACAUGCAAGUCGAGCGCCCCGCAAGGGGAGCGGCAGACGGGUGAGUAACGCGUGGGAAUCUACCCUUGACUACGGAAUAACGCAGGGAAACUUGUGCUAAUACCGUAUGUGUCCUUCGGGAGAAAGAUUUAUCGGUCAAGGAUGAGCCCGCGUUGGAUUAGCUAGUUGGUGGGGUAAAGGCCUACCAAGGCGACGAUCCAUAGCUGGUCUGAGAGGAUGAUCAGCCACAUUGGGACUGAGACACGGCCCAAACUCCUACGGGAGGCAGCAGUGGGGAAUAUUGGACAAUGGGCGCAAGCCUGAUCCAGCCAUGCCGCGUGAGUGAUGAAGGCCCUAGGGUUGUAAAGCUCUUUCACCGGAGAAGAUAAUG